UCCCUAGUAGCUCAGACAGUAGAGAAUCUGCCUGCAAUGCAGAGACCCAAGUUCAAUCCUUGGGUUGGGAU
rnacentral:tRNA from 1 species